rnacentral:tRNA from 1 species
AAGGAUAUAUUCGGAACAUCUUCUACGAAGAUGAGGGAAURACGUGACAUAUUGUAUUCAGUUUUGAAUGUUUAUUARCAUUCAARUUAURUAAUGGGCCUAUAGCUCAGCUGGUUAGAGCGCACGCCUGAUAAGCGUGAGGUCGGUGGUUCGAGUCCACUUAGGCCCACCAUUCAAUAAUUUAAAACCUUAGGGGGCUUAGCUCAGCUGGGAGAGCGCCUGCUUUGCACGCAGGAGGUCAGCGGUUCGAUCCCGCUAGUCUCCACCAUUAUAUUUUGUACAUUGAAAACURGAUAAGUAAGUAAGAUUUUACCAAGCAAAACCGAGUGAAUAGAGUUUUAAAUAAGCUUGAAUUCAUAAAUAAUCGCUAGUGUUCGAAAGAACACUCACAAGAUUAAUAACUAGUUUUAGCUAUUUAUUUUGAAUAACAAUUCAAAAUAUGGUGGAAACAUA